GAUGAACGCUGGCGGCGUGCCUAAUACAUGCAAGUCGAGCGAACAGACGAGGAGCUUGCUCCUCUGACGUUAGCGGCGGACGGGUGAGUAACACGUGGAUAACCUACAUAUAAGACUGGGAUAACUUCGGGAAACCGGAGCUAAUACCGGAUAAUAUAUUGAACCGCAUGGUUCAAUAGUGAAAGACGGUUUUGCUGUCACUUAUAUAUGGAUCCGCGCCGCAUUAGCUAGUUGGUAAGGUAACGGCUUACCAAGGCAACGAUGCGUAGCCGACCUGAGAGGGGGAUCGGCCACACUGGGACUGAGACACGGUCCAGACUCCGACGGGAGGCAGCAGUAGGGAAUCUUCCGCAAUGGGCGAAAGCCUGACGGAGCAACGCGGCGUGAGUGAUGAAGGUCUUCGGAUCGUAAAACUCUGUGAUUAGGGAAGAACAAAUGUGUAAGUAACUAUGCACGUCUUGACGGUACCUAAUCAGAAAGCCACGGCUAACUACGUG
rnacentral:rRNA from 1 species